ensembl:lncRNA
GGGGAACUGCAGUCUUAGCGGGUGGCUGCGCCCAGUGGCAGCUUCUGCAGAGAAAGAGAAACCAGCAGCCAGGCUCCUGGUGCCAGCUUAAGUGACAUGCCCACGUUUAUGAAUUUCCCAACCUGAUCCUCAGUCCAAUACUUCUUAUUUCAAUUAUAAUCAAAAGAGUUACCAUGGCAGUUCUCUUUCAUCCAUGCACUUUGCCAGGUAACUUGCAGGGCCUUCCCAUUAUGGACAGGUGGGCUUCCCUGCCUUUUGGGUUGGACUAAGUGACUUGCUUCAGCCAGAAGAAUAAGGUAGAUGCCAUGUGCACCAGUUCCAAGGCUGGGCCUCAAGAUGCCUGCAUGUUUCUACCUGUGCCCUUGCGCCUCUGCUGCCACCAUGAGAAGCACCUGCCAGCUGGCUUCAGGAAAAGAAUGAUACCCCCUGGAGAAGAGCCAUCCACAGCCAAGUCCAACCUGGGUCUUCAGAGAGAAAAGAAGCCUUAGGGGUACAGACUGCAAGUUAUGAAGUCUCCACCAAGGGGGGAAAAGUAGCAUCUGAACUGUCGCUGUGAAGAAAUUGUUUGCAGAUUCUGAUUCAGCACAUCAGGCCAGGUGUCUGAGCGACUGCAUUUCUCGAAAGCUCCCAGAGAUGUGCUGUGGCUGCUUUGUGUCCCAUCAUCCCCUGAGGAGCAGCUCUGAAUCAGUUCACUCACCAUCUUGGUCCCCACAAUUCCCACAGUUUUGAAAGAAAGCCAAGACCCUGGAACUGUAGCUCUCACAAUUUCUGAUACAUCUAAAUCACCUUGAAGGCUCAUUUUAGAAUGCAAAUUCCAAGGCCUUGACCUGGAAGAUUCUGAUUCACCACUGCUACUUCCCUGCAUGCCUAGACCUAAGCCUGGCUGUAGCACAGCUAUGCCAUCAGGUCCUCCCAGCUCCUGAGCCUGUCCUCCGGCCAUACCCCUUUGCUUGCAAAAAGCCUGAUUUGGUGGCCUUCUUCUCUUUGAAUGUCCUUUGCUGGUUCUCAUGAUUGUCUAGUUUUUUAUCUCUGCUCAGAUGUCUCUUCCUCAGAGGGGUUUUCCCUGACCACAGUCUAAGGUAAUGCUUUCUGCCACAGUCACUGUCCCUGUGCUUUCUUGCCUUCCUUCCCAGUUCCUGUUACUCUCUGGAAUAAUCUUGUCCCUGCAUCUGCUUAUUGGUUUGCUGUCUGUCUUCCAUGGCAACAGGAACUUUACCUGCCUUGUUUUCCACACUGAAUUCUCAGUACCUAGCACAGUGCUGGAGAACUGAAUGAAUGAAUGAAUGCACCCUAGUGGAGAAAGAAGGUGUAAAGUAAACAGUGACAUGAAUUCUGGCCUUGGAAAUUUAAGACUUCAGAGUGAAGCAGAAGUGAGCAUCUCAUGAACAAAGGAUCCUAAGAAUAGAAAAGGAUUCAUCAUGAUUCCUUCAGGGUGUGGAAGAAAAUUAAGUUAGGAAUAGAAGAUGUAGAAUACAAAAUUCAUUGUCCUUCCUCUGUAUUUCAUUUUAAAAUGAUAAAAAUAUAUGUUCCUGGUAGGCAAUUUGGGAAAACAGAAAAAUUUAAGAAAGUAUAUACCACAUUAACUGACCACCCAUGGGUAACUUUGGUUUUCAUUUUUGUGUUUUUCCUUUUAAAUUAUUGUAAAUGUUUUCAAAUAUGUGUGUCUUAUAUACACAUAUAUAUGGCACAUAUACUUUCAUGUUCUGCUCUUUUAUUAUUUCACAUUAUAGGAUGAGCAUAUUCUUGUACCUACAAAGUGCCU